CCUACGGGGGGCAGCAGUGGGGAAUAUUGCACAAUGGGGGAAACCCUGAUGCAGCGACGCCGCGUGAGUGAAGAAGUAUUUCGGUAUGUAAAGCUCUAUCAGCAGGGAAGAAAAUGACGGUACCUGACUAAGAAGCCCCGGCUAACUACGUGCCAGCAGCCGCGGUAAUACGUAGGGGGCAAGCGUUAUCCGGAUUUACUGGGUGUAAAGGGAGCGUAGACGGCAGAGCAAGUCUGAAGUGAAAGCCCGGGGCCCAACUGCGGGACUGCUUUGGAAACUGCCCGGCUAGAGUGCUGGAGAGGUAAGCGGAAUUCCUAGUGUAGCGGUGAAAUGCGUAGAUAUUAGGAGGAACACCAGUGGCGAAGGCGGCUUACUGGACAGUAACUGACGUUGAGGCUCGAAAGCGUGGGGAGCAAACAGGAUUAGAUACCCCUGUAGUC
rnacentral:rRNA from 1 species